rnacentral:rRNA from 1 species
CCCUUAGAUGUCCUGGGCCGCACGCGCGGUACACUGAGUGUCUGAGAUACGAGUCUGCCUGGUCCGGCAAGGUCUAGGUAAUCGCUAAAAGACACAUCAUGCUUGGGAUAGAUUAUUGCAAAUAUUAAUCUUGAACGAGGAAUUCCUAGUAAGCGCAAGUCAACAGCUUGCGUUGAUUACGUCCCUGCCCUUUGUACACACCGCCCGUCGCUACUACUGAUUGGAUGUUUAAGCGAGGUUCUCGAACUGCUAGCGACUUAGCUUCGGUGAGGUCGCAGUGUGGGAAGUGAACCUAGCUUUGGUGUCUAGAGGAAGUAAAAGUCGUAACA